CUCCUACGGGAGGCAGCAGUGGGGAAUCUUGCACAAUGGGCGAAAGCCUGAUGCAGCGACGCCGCGUGGGGGAUGAAGCUUCUCGGAGUGUAAACCCCUUUCGACCGGGACGAAUACCUCGUAAGAGGGGUGACGGUACCGGUAUAAGAAGCCCCGGCUAACUACGUGCCAGCAGCCGCGGUAAUACGUAGGGGGCCAGCGUUGCUCGGAAUUACUGGGUGUAAAGGGUUCGUAGGCGGUGCGGCAAGUUGGGAGUGAAAUCUUUGGGCUCAACCCAGAGGCUGCUUUCAAAACUGCUGUGCUUGAGUGUGGGAGAGGCGCGUGGAAUUGCAGGUGUAGCGGUGAAAUGCGUAGAUAUCUGCAGGAACACCCGUGGCGAAAGCGGCGCGCUGGACCACAACUGACGCUGAGGAACGAAAGCUAGGGGAGCAAACAGGAUUAGAUACCCUGGUAGUCCUAGCCCUAAACGAUCAGGACUUGGGGUGGCUCACGUUCGUGAGUCGUCCCGGAGCUAACGCGUUAAGUCCUGCACCUGGGGAGUACGGUCGCAAGACUGAAACUCAAAGGAAUUGACGGGGGCCCGCACAAGCGGUGGAACAUGUGGUUCAAUUCGACGCUACGCGAGGAACCUUACCUGGGCUCGAAGCGCACUUGACAAUCUGUAGAAAUACGGACUUCCCGCAAGGGACAAGUGUGGAGGCGCUGCAUGGCUGUCGUCAGCUCGUGCCGUGAGGUGUUGGGUUAAGUCCCGCAACGA
rnacentral:rRNA from 1 species